CAGAUUCCUGCAAAAUAUUUGUAUAUAACUUCCUCAAAUGUACCGAGACAUCUCACAAAGAAUCAUUGUCAGUAUCUCAGAGAAGGAAAAAAAAAAAAAAAAAAGGCGAUAGCGAUCUCUUCGAUUUCUCCAUUCUACUUGCAUGUGCUUGGAUACAGCCCAGAUUUCUGAAAGAGCUCAAAAUGUCAGCCAGAAUACAUUGAGUCCAUAGAAGAGGCAAUUAUUAAAUGUCCUUCUCUUUACCAAGAUAAGCUAUUGGAUGUUAUUUCUAACUGUAUGUGAACUGCCUUUGAAUAGUUGUUUUCUUGCUUUUCCUUUCUGUUCAUAUAUAUCUAUUGAAUGAACAAGCAAGUUGAAAACGUAUUUAAGACAUUAUUUUUUUGUCAAGCAUUGUGCUAAGUACUAGGGAUAGAGAUAUAAGAAAAAAAGCCGCUUGGGGCUCUCAAGGAACUUGCCUGCUAAAAGGGAUAGAGAAUAGAUAUUGGUGGGUGAUAUUUUGCUGUGAGAAGUCACAGGGAAGGUGAGUGGAAUGAUCCAGGAGUUGACGGACUUCUUUCCAGUAGCAAUGGCUCUGGUUGCUCUGGUUAUACUUCUAAAUCUGGGGAACUAGCUGGGGAGGAGUAGGAAUGAGGAGGAGAGGAAGGAGGAAGAGAGAAAAGAGUGACAUAACAGAAACAGAUGAUAAAGACAAGAUGGCCAAGGUGGGAUUUGGACCACAUAGAGCAUUCACUGAGUAGAAUGGGGUGGAUCUCAAGUCCAUGGUUCCAGAUCCAAGUACCUGGGGAAUGUUCUGUGGUCUGGGGAUUACAGGAGGCAGACUAUAUGGGAGGCAAUUUGAAGGGUAGGAUGCAGGCAAGAUGGGACACUUGCUGUCCAGCUGUGUUUCUGGAGGGUGUCCAAAAAGUUCUAAAACAGCUCAACUCAAUGGUAGAAAGAUGUCAGUCUCUUAAAAUUCUUUGUCAUCAGGGAAACUUUAAAUCCACAUUGAUAUUCAGUUCUAUUUAAGUGGACAAAAUAAAAAUCGAGAAAUUGGGAGCAAAUCUAUUGCAUGGACUAGGUUGAGCACAGAAAACACAGUACAUUUAAGCAGUCCCCGAAUUUGUUAUGGAGUGCUCUGAGUCCCCAGUAAAAAUGAUUUGGCUUUGCUUAUCUGGUCAAGAAUACACGAUUAUCGAUAAGAGACUCCAACGGCCAAAGAUAAUUUCUCUUUAAAGAUAACUCAUCUGUGAAAUGAGGCAGUUAGGCAAGGUAAUCUCUAUGUCCCUUCCAGUUGGAACGUUUUCUGAGAUUUUCUAGGCGGAUUCCAAGUCCGCCUAUCAAACUGCUUGGUCUAUUCUGCAGGAUGUUCCUCUUCCAACAGCGAAUUCUGCAGGUUCAAUCCAGACCUUCAAGAACCACAGCUUCUUGGGCCCUGCUACCCUCUGACUAUAAUCCUGCCCGUGAAAGAAGUCUUCGGGGGGUGAUGCACCUGUUUUGCUGCUGAUAUUGGCAAUGACAGAGCUAUCAUUACGAGCUUCACUGUGUAGGAGCUGAGACUAACAAGGAGCUAGUCUUGUUUCAAAGUCACACUUUGUACUCGGCUGUCUCACUCAAGCAUGAAGAAUGAUUCAUGAACAGGGAAUCGGCUGGAAAGGAUCACUGACUCCAGAACUGGCACAACGGUCCUGGGAUCAUCAAAGACAGUGUUCCAACUCUUCUGCUAUGUUGUGGAGAGAUUUCUGACCCAAAUAUCUUAGAGUUGUCUGCCAAAGGGCC